rnacentral:rRNA from 1 species
UGGCGGACGGGUGAGUAACGCGUGGAUAACCUGCCGUAUACAGGGGGAUAACACUUAGAAAUAGGUGCUAAUACCGCAUAAGCGCACGGUUCCGCAUGGAACAGUGUGAAAAACUCCGGUGGUAUACGAUGGAUCCGCGUCUGAUUAGCCAGUUGGCGGGGUAACGGCCCACCAAAGCGACGAUCAGUAGCCGGCCUGAGAGGGCGGACGGCCACAUUGGGACUGAGACACGGCCCAGACUCCUACGGGAGGCAGCAG